AUCCUAGACUGAUCGUCGUUGCAUUGGAUGCUACUGGUCAGGAAGAUUCAAUUGUUUCGGGAACCUUCUUCAUUUCUUUUGCGAAUCCAUCGUGCUUCCUUUUGACAACAACAGUGCGGCAAGAGAAUUCAUCAUGUUCACUCUGGCAAGCCCAUACAACCUCACAAAGUGCUCGUGAAGCCUGUGAUUGGGCAUACGAAACCGCGUGCAGUUUGUAUGCGGGGCGCAAAUAUAAGUAUCGAUCAAAAAGGUGCGAUUCGAAGGUAAUUGCAAAUCA
rnacentral:lncRNA from 1 species